CUUUGGUGUGCAUUGGUC
rnacentral:siRNA from 1 species